UACGUAGGGUGCAAGCGUUAAUCGGAAUUACUGGGCGUAAAGUGUGCGCAGGCGGUUGUGCAAGACCGAUGUGAAAUCCCCGGGCUUAACCUGGGAAUGGCAUUGGUGACUGCACGGCUAGAGUGUGUCAGAGGGGGGUAGAAUUCCACGUGUAGCAGUGAAAUGCGUAGAGAUGUGGAGGAAUACCGAUGGCGAAGGCAGCCCCCUGGGAUAACACUGACGCUCAUGCACGAAAGCGUGGGGAGCAAACAGG
rnacentral:rRNA from 1 species